rnacentral:rRNA from 1 species
UCGAGAUCUUCGUCCGCCUUCCGGCCAAGGACAUCCUCCGUUGCCGCGCGGUCUGCCGCUCCUGGCGCCGGCCUCGCCUCGGUGCCUGAUUUCCUCCUCGCCCACCAUCGGCGCCAGCCGUCUCUCCCCCUCGUUCAGCUCUAUGGCGACAUACAGAGGGCAAGUACAAAGGCCGGCCUCCCAAUCUUGGGGCACGGUCCCGGUUGGGUUGUCCUUGGAUUGAACGAUUAUGAUGGCUUUGAGCUGAAGGCCUCCUGUGAUGGCCUCCUCCUGAUCAGCCGCUCUGGCGGCCGCUUUAGCAUCUGCAACCCGGUCACGCGCCAGUGCGCUCCACUCCCACGCCUCACCACCGAAGGCCGCCGCAGCAACAUCAAGAUAGCGGCGUUGUACCUGUACCCUCCGAUGGGUGAGUACCGCGUCAUGUACCGGAUAGGGAGUCACCACGCCAAAGCAGCUCCCUGCUACAUCCUAACGGUUGGGCGUGGAGGCUCGCCAAGGUGUAUUGGAGUUCCUUCGAAUACCCUUGCCAUACGGAAAGCGAAGAUGACCGAGAAUGGAGUGAGCCCUAUUAAUGUGAGCCCACCCGUCGUGUUUGGCGGUUGCCUUCAUUGGGAACCUGGCUGGCUUGACUAUGAUGCCAACGAUAUAGUCGUUUUUGACACGGUGGCCGAGUCGUUCAGGUCCAUGUGUUGUCCGGCUAGUGCUACGAGCCGCUGCACUCAUUUGUGUGAGAUGAAAGGUUUGAUUGGCUUUAGUUGCCUGGACAACGAGAGGACAGUCGCCAGAAUCUGGGUGCUGGAGGACUACGAGAGGGAGGCAUGGUCAUUCAAGUAUCAUGUCAAAUUCCCCAUGGAGAGCUUGUGUCGCUAUAUAUAUGCGCAACAUCUUGUUCUGUCCCACAAGGGAGACGUGCUGGUCUACAGUACGUACACACGCGACAUGUUUCGUUGUGACAGCACCGGCAAGUUGCUAGAGAAAUUCUCAUGGGAACCCGAGUUACAACGAAGUUUGGACAUAAUUGAACACAGGUUAAAAGAAAGCCUUGUCGAGCAGGAGUUCUUCACAAAGCAA